AUAUAUGUCCAGCUUAUACUUUGGAACAUAAUAACUGUUACUACGACUGAAAACCCAUGUGACUGUCAAUAUGGAGCAAGCUGUAAUGAUGGCGGAGAUUGUAUCUGUCAGGCUGGAUUUACAAGUGAUAAGUGUACUGAAAGUAGCUUAGAAGAUUUGUAUAGCGCAAUUUUCCAAAGUCUGUUAACUAAUAUAAGUGAUGCUGAAGCUUACGCUAAACAAACUCAUCAAUAUAUGGACAGCCACAUUACUCAAAAUUAUGCAGACCUGAAGACA